AUAAUUGACUACUCUUAUUCUAAUAUAUAUAUUUACUCGAGUUUCAUUGUAACAUUAAGCUAAAUAAAAAUAACCUGCUUCAAAGAACCUCACUGCAUGCUUAAGUUUUGACCUUCCUAUUCUAAAAUCCUUUACUAAGUGAAUGCCUUUAAGUAACAUUUCGAAACGUAAUAUGAUGUCGAUAAGGUUAUUCAAGAAUAGCAUUAUGCAGCUAGCUAGCGCACUUCUG